rnacentral:rRNA from 1 species
UACGGAGGAUGCGAGCGUUAUCCGGAUUUAUUGGGUUUAAAGGGUGCGUAGGCGGCUUUUUAAGUCAGCAGUGAAAUUUUGCAGCUUAACUGUAACAGUGCCGUUGAUACUGGGGAGCUAGGAUUUGGUUGCUGUGGGUGGAAUGUGUGGUGUAGCGGUGAAAUGCUUAGAGAUCACACAGAAUAUCGAUUGCGAAGGCAGCUCACAAAGCCAAGAUUGACGCUGAGGCACGAAAGUGUGGGGAUCAAACAGGA